rnacentral:lncRNA from 1 species
CCCCUACAAUUCUUUGUGUUCUCUCACUCUAUGUUUGCUGUGUGGAUGUUAACACCCAAGAUGAUAUGGGGAGCCAUUGCAAUAAAAAUGGCAAAACCUCCUUUAGACUGGGUUCUUGAGUAACUGAGCAGAGCUUUCAUCCCAGGCAGCCACUGUUUCCAGGACCCACCACCCAGCCAUCUCACCAUCCUAAAACCAGAAAUCUUCCAAAAUGUCUUCUGAUCCCUCAACCCUACAUCCAACCAGAAGUCAAGGACUGCAUGAGGCAGAUACUGCCAACCUACCUGUUUCAGAAGUGAGAACACUAGGACUCGGAGACAGCACAUGUCGUACAUGGGAAUCUGAGGAAUGCAGUUUUUAAAUGUUUCCUUAUUCCUGAAGCACUGAAGGGCUACUGGAGAAAGUGGAAUACUGAUGCUGAGUGUCAAACUACUACCAAGUAUCCUUGCCAAGUUAACUCAUCUACCCUGAUGAAAAGCUGAAAACCUUGGUCGAGGUUUUGAAAUUCAAAGUUUUUUAUAAAAAUGAAUAAAUAAUAUAGUCUUCUUUCAUAAUUUUGA